AGAGUUUGAUCCUGGCUCAGGACGAACGCUGGCGGCGUGCCUAACACAUGCAAGUCGAACGGAGUUGAAAGGAGCUUGCUUUUUUCAACUCAGUGGCGGACGGGUGAGUAACGCGUGAGUAACCUGCCUUUCAGAGGGGGAUAACGUUCUGAAAAGAACGCUAAUACCGCAUAAGAUUGUAGCUUCGCAUGGAGCAGCAAUCAAAGGAGCAAUCCGCUGAAAGAUGGACUCGCGUCCGAUUAGAUAGUUGGCGGGGUAACGGCCCACCAAGUCGACGAUCGGUAGCCGGACUGAGAGGUUGAUCGGCCACAUUGGGACUGAGACACGGCCCAGACUCCUACGGGAGGCAGCAGUGGGGAAUAUUGCGCAAUGGGGGAAACCCUGACGCAGCAACGCCGCGUGAUUGAAGAAGGCCUUCGGGUUGUAAAGAUCUUUAAUCAGGGACGAAAUAAAUGACGGUACCUGAAGAAUAAGCUCCGGCUAACUACGUGCCAGCAGCCGCGGUAAUACGUAGGGAGCAAGCGUUGUCCGGAUUUACUGGGUGUAAAGGGUGCGUAGGCGGAUUGGCAAGUCAGAAGUGAAAUCCAUGGGCUUAACCCAUGAACUGCUUUUGAAACUGUUAGUCUUGAGUGAAGUAGAGGUAGGCGGAAUUCCCGGUGUAGCGGUGAAAUGCGUAGAGAUCGGGAGGAACACCAGUGGCGAAGGCGGCCUACUGGGCUUUAACUGACGCUGAGGCACGAAAGUGUGGGUAGCAAACAGGAUUAGAUACCCUGGUAGUCCACACUGUAAACG
rnacentral:rRNA from 1 species